ensembl:lncRNA
GUGUCUGCCUCCUCACCCAGAGCCAGACCUCCACCUCCUCACCCAGAGCCAGACCUCCACCUCCUCACCCAGAGCCAGACCUCCACCUCCUCACCCAGAGCCAGACCUCCACCUCCUCACCCAGAGCCAGACCUCCACCUCCUCACCCAGAGCCAGACCUCCACCUCCUCACCCAGAGCCAGACCUCCACCUCCUGUCAGAAGUCCUCCAGAACAGCUGAAAGGCGAGGCUGAGAGGCUGGGGACCGGCUUGUGGUGCCAGGAUGGACCGGAGACUGAGGCUGGAGACCAGGGGCCUGCAGCACCGGACCAGAGGACCAGGAAUCCAUGGCUGAAGGAGCUCAUGGAGGAGCCGUGCUGAAGGCCCUGCCUGUUGGAGGAGCUGAUGGAGGCCCUGCCUGAUGGAGGAGCUGAUGGAGGCCCUGCCUGAUGGAGGAGCUGAUGGAGGCCCUGCCUGGUGGAGGAGCCGAUGGAGGCCCUGCCUGGUGGAGGAGCCGAUGGAGGGCCUGCCUGGUGGAGGAACCGAUGGAGGCCCUGCCUGGUGGAGGAACCGAUGGAGGCCCUGCCUGGUGGAGGAGCUGAUGGAGGCCCUGCCUGGUGGAGGAUUUCUGUCGUUGGGUAGAUGGAGCCCGACUCUGAAACCAUGAAUCUGUCUGAAGAGAGCUGGUGGGGGAGCUGAGAAGCUGUAAGACGAUUAGGAAUUGACAACAAGGAUUCCUCACCAGGACUCUGGCUGAGGAGUGCUGAUAGAGGAGCCAAGACUCUGGAGGACGACAUCACUCUAUCAACAAGGAUCCAAAGCCAAAUUACGUUUGUAACCAGACCAGGAAUCUGGAGGACUGACGGAGAAGCCAUACCUCUGGAAGGCAAAUCCUGAGGACGACCAGGACUCUACCAUCAAGGAUUCCUCACACACCUGAGCUGAACCUCACCUGAUCCUGUUUGGUCGGGGUCAGACUCAUCUGAGCUGAACCCCACCUGAUCCUGCUGGUCCCGUCUCCUCAGUUCAUCUUAGCCUCGUCUUCCAGAAGACCUGCUGAACUCAGCAGUCUGAUCCUGAUGGAUCAAUGACCUCCAGUGGGAGUGAUCUUCUUGACCACACAAGUACCCGUGUGCUUCCACACGUCUUACCCUCACGUCUGUCACUAACCUCACUACUUCACUAAUCUCUACUCCUUACCUUCUUCUUCCUUCUCCGUGGUUCGAACCUUUACUCUGAAGGAGUGUCUUCUUGAACCUUUACA